GGGAGGCAGCAGUGGGGAAUUUUGCACCAAUGGGCCCAAGCCUUGAUGCAGCAACGCCGCGUGAGGGAUGACGGCCUUUCGGGUUGUAAUCUCUUUUAGCAGGGAAGAAGCGAAAGUGACGGUACCUGCAGAAAAAGCGCGGCUAACUACGUGCCAGCAGCCGCGGUAAUACGCAGGGCGCAAGCGUUGUCCGGAAUUAUUGGGCGUAAAGAGCUCGUAGGCGGUCUGUCGCGUCUGCUGUGAAAUCCCGAGGCUCAACCUCGGGCUUGCAGUGGGUACGGGCAGACUAGAGUGCGGUAGGGGAGAAUGGAAUUCCUGGUGUAGCGGUGGAAUGCGCAGAUAUCAGGAGGAACACCGAUGGCGAAGGCAGUUCUCUGGGCCGUAACUGACGCUGAGGAGCGAAAGCGUGGGGAGCGAACAGGAUUAGAUACCCUGGUAGUCCACGCCGUAAACGUUGGGCGCUAGUUGUGGGGACCAUUCCACGGUCUCCGUGACGUAGCUAACGCAUUAAGCGCCCCGCCUGGGGAGUACGGCCGCAAGGCUAAAACUCAAAGGAAUUGACGGGGGCCCGCACAAGCGGCGGAGCAUGCGGAUUAAUUCGAUGCAACGCGAAGAACCUUACCAAGGCUUGACAUAUAGAGGAAAAGGCUGGAAACAGUCUCCCCGCAAGGUCUCUAUACAGGUGGUGCAUGGUUGUCGUCAGCUCGUGUCGUGAGAUGUUGGGUUAAGUCCCGCAACGAGCGCAACCCUCGUCCUAUGUUGCCAGCGGUUCGGCCGGGAGCUCAUGGGAUACUGCCGGGGUCAACUCGGAGGAAGGUGGGGAUGACGUCAAAUCAUCAUGCCCCUUAUGUCUUGGGCUUCACGCAUGCUACAAUGGCCGGUACAAAGGGCUGCAAUACCGCAAGGUGGAGCGAAUCCCA
rnacentral:rRNA from 1 species